UACAGAGGUCUCGAGCGUUGUUCGGAUUCAUUGGGCGUAAAGCGCGUGUAGGCGGCUCGGUAAGUCUGCUGUGAAAGUCCAGGGCUCAACCCUGGAAUGCCGGUGGAAACUGUCGAGCUUGAGUCCGGAAGAGGCGAGUGGAAUUCCUGGUGUAGCGGUGAAAUGCGCAGAUAUCAGGAGGAACACCAAUGGCGAAGGCAGCUCGCUGGGACGGUACUGACGCUGAGACGCGAAAGCGUGGGGAGCAAACAGG
rnacentral:rRNA from 1 species